GUUAACGGCCACAGCGGAUAGGAAACACCCGUUCCCAUCCCGAACACGGAAGUUAAGCUGUCCAGCGAUCCAGGCGGUACUGCUUAAUAAGUGGGAAGCCUGGGACGCUGUUAACC
rnacentral:rRNA from 1 species